UACGUAGGGGGCUAGCGUUGUCCGGAAUCAUUGGGCGUAAAGAGCUCGUAGGCGGUUUGUCGCGUCUGCCGUGAAAGUCCGGGGCUCAACUCCGGAUCUGCGGUGGGUACGGGCAGACUAGAGUGAUGUAGGGGAGACUGGAAUUCCUGGUGUAGCGGUGAAAUGCGCAGAUAUCAGGAGGAACACCAGUAGCGAAGGCGGCACUCUGGGCCGGUACUGACGCUGAGGAGCGAAAGCUAGGGGAGCGAACGGG
rnacentral:rRNA from 1 species